AUACUUGAGAGCCGUUAGAUGA
rnacentral:miRNA from 1 species